rnacentral:rRNA from 1 species
CCUACGGGUGGCUGCAGUGGGGAAUAUUGCACAAUGGGCGCAAGCCUGAUGCAGCCAUGCCGCGUGUGUGAAGAAGGCCUUCGGGUUGUAAAGCACUUUCAGCGGGGAGGAAGGCGGUGAGGUUAAUAACCUCAUCGAUUGACGUUACCCGCAGAAGAAGCACCGGCUAACUCCGUGCCAGCAGCCGCGGUAAUACGGAGGGUGCAAGCGUUAAUCGGAAUUACUGGGCGUAAAGCGCACGCAGGCGGUCUGUCAAGUCGGAUGUGAAAUCCCCGGGCUCAACCUGGGAACUGCAUACGAAACUGGCAGGCUAGAGUCGUGUAGAGGGGGGUAGAAUUCCAGGUGUAGCGGUGAAAUGCGUAGAGAUCUGGAGGAAUACCGGUGGCGAAGGCGGCCCCCUGGACAAAGACUGACGCUCAGGUGCGAAAGCGUGGGGAGCAAACAGGAUUAGAUACCCCGGUAGUC